GCGGUAGAGGAGCGUCGUGUAAGCCGAUGAAGGUGGAUGGAGACGUCUGCUGGAGGUAUCACGAGUGCGAAUGCUGACAUGAGUAACGACAAGGGGAGUGAAAAACUCCCCCGCCGGAAGACCAAGGGUUUCUGUUCGACGCUAAUCGGAGCAGAGUGAGUCGGCCCCUAAGGCGAGGCCGAAAGGCGUAGUCGAUGGGAAACGGGUCAAUAUUCCCGUACCUCACUGUAUUGCGAUGGGGGGACGAAGAAGGCUAGGUGAGCCAGGCGUUGGUUGUCCUGGUGAAAGCCAGUAGGCUGGGAUCUCAGGCAAAUCCGGGAUCCUAAGGCCGAGAGGCGAGACGAACUGACCACGGUCAGGAAGUCAUCGAUGCCACGCUUCCAGGAAAAGCCUCUAAGCUUCAGAUACAGUGGGACCGUACCCCAAACCGACACAGGUGGUCAGGUAGAGAAUACCAAGGCGCUUGAGAGAACUCGGGUGAAGGAACUAGGCAAAAUGGUGCCGUAACUUCGGGAGAAGGCACGCCGCGUUAGUGUGAAGGGACUUGCUCCCGGAGCACGAGGCGGUCGAAGAUACCAGGUGGCUGCAACUGUUUAUUAAAAACACAGCACUCUGCAAACGCGCAAGCGGACGUAUAGGGUGUGACGCCUGCCCGGUGCCGGAAGGUUAAGUGAUGGUGUUAGCGCAAGCGAAGCUCCUGAUCGAAGCCCCGGUAAACGGCGGCCGUAACUAUAACGGUCCUAAGGUAGCGAAAUUCCUUGUCGGGUAAGUUCCGACCUGCACGAAUGGCGUAAUGAUGGCCACGCUGUCUCCACCCGAGACUCAGUGAAAUUGAAAUCGCAGUGAAGAUGCUGUGUACCCGCGGCUAGACGGAAAGACCCCGUGAACCUUUACUAUAGCUUCACACUGGACGCUGAUGUUGCUUGUGUAGGAUAGCUGGGAGGCUUUGAAACCCGGACGCCAGUUCGGGUGGAGCCAACCUUGAAAUACCAGCCUGGCAUCAUUGGCGUUCUAACUCAGGUCCGUUAUCCGGAUCGAGGACCGUGUGUGGUGGGUAGUUUGACUGGGGCGGUCUCCUCCCAAAGCGUAACGGAGGAGCACGAAGGUACCCUCAGCACGGUUGGAAAUCGUGCAUUGAGUGCAAGAGCAUAAGGGUGCUUGACUGCGAGACAGACACGUCGAGCAGGUACGAAAGUAGGUUCUAGUGAUCCGGUGGUUCUGUAUGGAAGGGCCAUCGCUCAACGGAUAAAAGGUACUCCGGGGAUAACAGGCUGAUACCGCCCAAGAGUUCACAUCGACGGCGGUGUUUGGCACCUCGAUGUCGGCUCAUCACAUCCUGGGGCUGAAGUCGGUCCCAAGGGUAUGGCUGUUCGCCAUUUAAAGUGGUACGCGAGCUGGGUUUAGAACGUCGUGAGACAGUUCGGUCCCUAUCUGCCGUGGGCGUUGGAAGUUUGAGAAGAGCUGCUCCUAGUACGAGAGGACCGGAGUGGACGCACCUCUGGUGUUCCGGUUGUCACGCCAGUGGCAUUGCCGGGUAGCUAUGUGCGGACAGGAUAACCGCUGAAAGCAUCUAAGCGGGAAGCCCCCUUCAAGAUGAGACUUCCCUGAGGCCUUGAGCCUCCUGAAGGGCCCAGCGAGACCAGCUGGUUGAUAGGUCGGGUGUGGAAGCGCUGCAAGGCGUUGAGCUAACCGAUACUAAUGGCCCGUGAGGCUUGACCAUA
rnacentral:rRNA from 1 species